GGGGAGCCGAAGGGAAACCGAGUCUUAACUGGGCGUUAAGUUGCAGGGUAUAGACCCGAAACCCGGUGAUCUAGCCAUGGGCAGGUUGAAGGUUGGGUAACACUAACUGGAGGACCGAACCGACUAAUGUUGAAAAAUUAGCGGAUGACUUGUGGCUGGGGGUGAAAGGCCAAUCAAACCGGGAGAUAGCUGGUUCUCCCCGAAAGCUAUUUAGGUAGCGCCUCGUGAAUUCAUCUCCGGGGGUAGAGCACUGUUUCGGCAAGGGGGUCAUCCCGACUUACCAACCCGAUGCAAACUGCGAAUACCGGAGAAUGUUAUCACGGGAGACACACGGCGGGUGCUAACGUCCGUCGUGAAGAGGGAAACAACCCAGACCGCCAGCUAAGGUCCCAAAGUCAUGGUUAAGUGGGAAACGAUGUGGGAAGGCCCAGACAGCCAGGAUGUUGGCUUAGAAGCAGCCAUCAUUUAAAGAAAGCGUAAUAGCUCACUGGUCGAGUCGGCCUGCGCGGAAGAUGUAACGGGGCUAAACCAUGCACCGAAGCUGCGGCAGCGACGCUGAUGCGUUGUUGGGUAGGGGAGCGUUCUGUAAGCCUGUGA
rnacentral:rRNA from 1 species